AGGUGAGUAGCUCAAUUGGCAGAGCACCGGUCUCCAAAACCGGGGGUUGCAGGUUCGAAGCCUGUCUCACCUG
rnacentral:tRNA from 1 species